UGGGGAAUAUUGCACAAUGGGCGAAAGCCUGAUGCAGCGACGCCGCGUGCGGGAUGAAGGCCUUCGGGUUGUAAACCGCUUUUAAUUGGGAGCAAGCGAGAGUGAGUGUACCUUUUGAAUAAGCACCGGCUAACUACGUGCCAGCAGCCGCGGUAAUACGUAGGGUGCAAGCGUUAUUCGGAAUUAUUGGGCGUAAAGAGCUCGUAGGCGGUUUGUCACGCCUGGUGUGAAAGUCCAUCGCUUAACGGUGGAUCUGCGCCGGGUACGGGCAGGCUAGAGUGCAGUAGGGGAGAUUGGAAUUCCCGGUGUAACGGUGGAAUGUGUAGAUAUCGGGAAGAACACCAAUGGCGAAGGCAGAUCUCUGGGCUGUUACUGACGCUGAGGAGCGAAAGCAUGGGGAGCGAACAGGAUUAGAUACCCUGGUAGUCCAUGCCGUAAACGGUGGAUGCUGGAUGUGGGACCCUUCCACGGGUUCCGUGUCGGAGCUAACGCGUUAAGCAUCCCGCCUGGGGGAGUAC
rnacentral:rRNA from 1 species